rnacentral:lncRNA from 1 species
GGGUUUAUGACAAAGUUGAGCGACCUCAUGUCACUCAAACCAGCUGUAUUAAGGAAGGUGCAAGCUUUUGGGAUUUCUGUUUGGAUUUAGUUUAGGUUCAAAAGAGCACGCACAGAUCCUGAGUGUUGUCAAGCACCCGUGACUGGGAAACGGAGGCGUCCGAUCCGUAUUGGAGUCAAUUCGCCACUUAAUUGUUUCAGGGGUUACUCCAUCAUUAUCAUGGCAGGGAACAUGGCAGGAUGCAGGCAGAUGGUAGCUGAGAGUUCUACAUCUGGAUCCACAGGAAGCAGUUGAUUGAGAAUAAUGGUUCUGUUUUGGAGGUUGAUGGAAGAUGCCCUUUGGCCAGGAAAACAGCUCAUGCUUUUAGAGGAGGAUAAUUGCCAGAAGGCCUCUCUGAAUAAAAAAAAAUCCUGACCUCACAGCCUUUGCGCUUACUUGGGUUAGAAUGCCACAGUGAACAUUGCCCCUUGUCAUCACGUAGAGGUGCUCACAGGUAAAGCAACACAAGGAGCAUAUAGGAUCACCUGCUGGAUCUUGUUUUUAACACCAGGGAGGAAAAUGGUGUCUUGGGUAAUGAACAUGCCUCAAGACUGAGCUGGCCAUCUUCAGUGUCAUCCAAACCCUCAGUGGCCCCUGAAAAACCCUUUGAAAAGAUUCAGCACGUUGCCAUGGAGAACAUCCCACUGAAGGAAUGUAUAGAAGUAGCAGGGUUAACUGAGUGCCUUCCAUCUUCCCUCCAAGGGAUCUGCAAUGAGAUGGGAGAAGGCAACAGGCUGUGUGGGAACCACUGAAGCUGGGAUGGCAGGGAAAGAACAUCUUAGGCUAACUCUUCAAGCCUUGCUGUCACAUUUGCUUUUGAGUCUAUGGUGUCAGCUGCCUACCAGUUGCUUUCAUCUCUAGAAAUCUGUGACUUGCAGUAUGACAAGAACAAAAGGUGACAAUACAAAGGACAAAGGGCAAGGAAUACAGACGGAGAAGCCGCUUAGAGUCUAGGAUGGCAGAGGUUCUCUUGAUCAUUUCAUUUUUGAGCGCUUGUAGAGCUUUGGUGUACCAGAGGUGCUUGAACAGCUUACCACACCACAGAUGAAUGGCCUUUGGAUUUCUCCUAAGAAAAUGUGGCUACCUGAAAUUCAACUCCAUUUUCUGGUCUUCAAUAUUUCUUUUGUGUUCAGUUUGCCAGCUGAGGAGAAGUGGCUAAGCAUAGCCUGUUACUGAUGCUAAAGCCCAAGUUCUGAACCUAACAACUCCAGCAACAUGAUCCUGUUUCAAGAGACAAAAAAGUGACUAAUGAAAGAAAACAAUUGAUGUGCUAUGUAGAGUUUAAAAGAAGGUAAAGAGAAUAAAUUAAAAGCAACAACUCUC